rnacentral:rRNA from 1 species
GACGAACGCUGGCGGCGUGCUUAACACAUGCAAUUCGAACGGAAAGGCCCUGCUUUUGUGGGGUGCUCGAGUGGCGAACGGGUGAGUAACACGUGAGUAACCUGCCCUUGACUUUGGGAUAACUUCAGGAAACUGGGGCUAAUACCGGAUAGGAGCUCCUGCUGCAUGGUGGGGGUUGGAAAGUUUCGGCGGUUGGGGAUGGACUCGCGGCUUAUCAGCUUGUUGGUGGGGUAGUGGCUUACCAAGGCUUUGACGGGUAGCCGGCCUGAGAGGGUGACCGGCCACAUUGGGACUGAGAUACGGCCCAGACUCCUACGGGAGGCAGCAGUGGGGAAUAUUGCACAAUGGGCGGAAGCCUGAUGCAGCAACGCCGCGUGCGGGAUGACGGCCUUCGGGUUGUAAACCGCUUUCGCCUGUGACGAAGCGUGAGUGACGGUAAUGGGUAAAGAAGCACCGGCUGACUACGUG